CAAUAGCGUAUAUCUAAGUUGUUGCAGUUAAAAAGCUCGUAGUUGGAUUUCGGGUGGGACGCAGCGGUCUCGCAUUGCGUUUGUACUGCUGCAGCCCUCCUUCUUGCCGGGGGCGGCCUCUCGGACUUCACUGUCUGGGGGUCAGAAUCGGCGAUGUUACUUUGAGUAAAUUAGAGUGUUCAAAGCAAGCUUACGCUCUGAAUAUAAUAGCAUGGGAUAACACGACAGGACUCUGGCCUAUCGUGUUGGUCUAUAGGACCAGAGUAAUGAUUAAGAGGGACAGUCGGGGGCAUUCGUAUUCCGUUGUCAGAGGUGAAAUUCUUGGAUUUACGGAAGACGAACAUCUGCGAAAGCAUUUGCCAAGGAUGUUUNCAUUGA
rnacentral:rRNA from 1 species